rnacentral:rRNA from 1 species
CCUACGGGAGGCAGCAGUGAGGAAUAUUGGUCAAUGGGCGCGAGCCUGACCCAGCAACGCCGCGUGAAGGAAGAAGGCUUUCGGGUUGUAAACUUCUUUUCUGAGGGACGAAGGAAGUGACGGUACCUCAGGAAUAAGCCACGGCUAACUACGGGCCAGCAGCCGCGGUAAUACGUAGGUGGCAAGCGUUAUCCGGAUUUAUUGGGUGUAAAGGGCGUGUAGGCGGGAAAGCAAGUCAGAUGUGAAAACUCAGGGCUCAACCCUGAGCCUGCAUUUGAAACUGUUUUUCUUGAGUGCUGGAGAGGCGAUCGGAAUUCCGUGUGUAGCGGUGAAAUGCGUAGAUAUACGGAGGAACACCAGUGGCGAAGGCGGAUUGCUGGACAGUAACUGACGCUGAGGCGCGAAAGCGUGGGGAGCAAACAGGAUUAGAUACCCCAGUAGUC